UACCUGCAGCUCGAGUGGUAACCGCUAUUAUUGGGCCUAAAGCGUCCGUAGCCGGUUUGGUAAAUAUCUGGGUAAAUCGUGAGGCUUAACUUCACGAAUUUCGGAUAGACUGCCAGACUUGGGAUCGGGGGAGGUCAGAGGUACUCCAGGGGUAGCGGUGAAAUGUUGUAAUCCUUGGAGGACCACCGGUAGCGAAGGCGUCUGACUAGAACGAGUCCGACGGUGAGGGACGAAGCCCUGGGGGCGCAAACCGGGAUUAGAUACCCGGGUAGUCCAGGGUGUAAACGAUGUGGGCUUUGUAUUGGAGGUCCCACGUGGGCGUCCAGUGCAGAAGAGAAGUUGUUAAGCCCACCGCCUGGGAAGUACGGUCGCAAGGCUGAAACUUAAAGGAAUUGGCGGGGGAGCACAGCAACGGGAGGAGCGUGCGGUUU
rnacentral:rRNA from 1 species